AGUCAAUGAUUAAAAUCAUGUGUAAGAGUAGUGGACAGAAGAGAUUUCUGAGGAAUCACUGAUAUGAGACU